CCUACGGGAGGCUGCAGUCGAGAAUCAUUCACAAUGGGGGAAACCCUGAUGGUGCGACGCCGCGUGGGGGAAUGAAGGUCUUCGGAUUGUAAACUCCUGUCAUGUGGGAGCAAAUUAAAAAGGUAGUACAACAAGAGGAAGAGACGGCUAACUAUGUGCCAGCAGCCGCGGUAAUAAAGAGGUCUCAAGCGUUGGUCGGAAUCACUGGGCGUAAAGCGUGCGUGGGCUGUUUCGUAAGUCGUGUGUGAAAGGCGCGGGCACAACCCGCGUACGGCACAUGAGACUGCGAGACUAGAGUAAUGGAGAGGUAACCGGAAUUCGCGGUGUAGCAGUGAAAUGCGUAGAUA
rnacentral:rRNA from 1 species